rnacentral:rRNA from 1 species
GACGAACCGUGCGAACGUUAUUCGGAAUCACUGGGCUUAAAAGCGCGUGUAGGCGGGACGCACGUCGGUCGCUGAAAUCCCCGGGCUUAACCUGGGAACUGCGUUUGAAACUACAAGGCUAGAGUGUGGCAGAGGGGGGUGGAAUUCCACGUGUAGCAGUGAAAUGCGUAGAGAUGUGGAGGAACACCGAUGGCGAAGGCAGCCCCCCUGGGCCAACACUGACGCUCAGGCACGAAAAGCGUGGGGGAGCAAACAGG